GAGCGGAACCAACAGAUUUACUUCGGUAAUGACGUUGGGAAAGCGAGCGGCGGAUGGGUGAGUAACACGUGGGGAACCUGCCCCUAAGUCUGGGAUACCAUUUGGAAACAGGUGCUAAUACCGGAUAAUAAAGCAGAUCGCAUGAUCAGCUUUUGAAAGGCGGCGUAAGCUGUCGCUAAGGGAUGGCCCCGCGGUGCAUUAGCUAGUUGGUAAGGUAACGGCUUACCAAGGCGACGAUGCAUAGCCGAGUUGAGAGACUGAUCGGCCACAUUGGGACUGAGACACGGCCCAAACUCCUACGGGAGGCAGCAGUAGGGAAUCUUCCACAAUGGACGCAAGUCUGAUGGAGCAACGCCGCGUGAGUGAAGAAGGUUUUCGGAUCGUAAAGCUCUGUUGUUGGUGAAGAAGGAUAGAGGUAGUAACUGGCCUUUAUUUGACGGUAAUCAACCAGAAAGUCACGGCUAACUAC
rnacentral:rRNA from 1 species